rnacentral:rRNA from 1 species
GAUGAACGCUGGCGGCGUGCCUAAUACAUGCAAGUCGAGCGAACGGGCGAGAAGCUUGCUUCUCUGAUGUUAGCGGCGGACGGGUGAGUAACACGUGGAUAACCUACCUAUAAGACUGGGAUAACUUCGGGAAACCGGAGCUAAUACCGGAUGAUAUUUUGAACCGCAUGGUUCAAAAGUGAAAGACGGUCUUGCUGUCACUUAUAGAUGGAUCCGCGCUGCAUUAGCUAGUUGGUAAGGUAACGGCUUACCAAGGCAACGAUGCAUAGCCGACCUGAGAGGGUGAUCGGCCACACUGGAACUGAGACACGGUCCAGACUCCUACGGGAGGCAGCAGUAGGGAAUCUUCCGCAAUGGGCGAGAGCCUGACGGAGCAACGCCGCGUGAGUGAUGAAGGUCUUCGGAUCGUAAAACUCUGUUAUUAGGGAAGAACAUAUGUGUAAGUAACUGUGCACAUCUUGACGGUACCUAAUCAGAAAGCCACGGCUAACUACGUG